rnacentral:rRNA from 1 species
CCUACGGGAGGCAGCAGUGAGGAAUAUUGGUCAAUGGACGCAAGUCUGAACCAGCCAUGCCGCGUGCAGGAAGACGGCUCUAUGAGUUGUAAACUGCUUUUGUACGAGGGUAAAUCCCGAUACGUGUAUCGGGUUUAAAGUAUCGUACGAAUAAGGCUCGGCUAACUCCGUGCCAGCAGCCGCGGUAAUACGGAGGAUUCAAGCGUUAUCCGGAUUUAUUGGGUUGAAAGGGUGCGUAGGCGGUUCGAUAAGUUAGAGGUGAAAGCCCGGGGCUCAACUCCGGCACUGCCUCUGAUACUGUCGGGCUAGAGUUUAGUUGCGGUAGGCGGAAUGUAUGGUGUAGCGGUGAAAUGCAUAGAGAUCAUACAGAACACCGAUUGCGAAGGCAGCUUACCAAACUACGACUGACGUUGAGGCACGAAAGCGUGGGGAGCAAACAGGAUUAGAUACCCUAGUAGUC